rnacentral:rRNA from 1 species
AAUGAACGUUGGCGGCGUGGAUUAGGCAUGCAAGUCGAGCGAGAAUUUGCGAUUGGAAGCUUCGGCCGAGGAAAGUGAAGGAAAGCGGCAAACGGCGUAGUAAGGCGUAGGUACGUACCCUCGGGUCGGGAAUAGCCAUGGGAAACUGUGGGUAAUGCCCGAUAAUCUCUGCGGAGCAAAGGUGUGAUUCCGCCGGAGGAGCGGCUUACGUGAUAUUAGCUAGUUGGUGAGGUAAUGGCUCACCAAGGCUUAGACGUCUAGGGGGUGUGAGAGCAUGGCCCCCACCACUGGGACUGAGAUACUGCCCAGACACCUACGGGUGGCUGCAGUCGAGAAUCUUCGGCAAUGGGCGCAAGCCUGACCGAGCAACGCCGCGUGCGGGAUGAAGGCCCUUGGGUUGUAAACCGCUGUCAGGGGGAUGAAAGCGCAAGCUUGACAGAGCCCCAGAGGAAGCACGGGCUAAGUUCGUGCCAGCAGCCGCGGU